rnacentral:rRNA from 1 species
AUACGGGGGGUGCAAGCGUUAUUCGGAUUUAUUGGGCGUAAGGAGCGCGUAGGCGGCUUGGUAAGUCAGAUGUGAAAGCCCGGGGCUCAACCCCGGAAGUGCAUUUGAAACUAUCCGGCUUGAGUAUGGGAGAGGGAAGUGGAAUUCCUGGUGUAGAGGUGAAAUUCGUAGAUAUCAGGAGGAACACCGGUGGCGAAGGCGACUUCCUGGACCAAUACUGACGCUGAGGCGCGAAGGCGUGGGGAGCAAACAGGAUUAGAUACCCUAGUAGUCC